rnacentral:lncRNA from 1 species
UUAAACAUGCAAUGGGCCCAAAAAGAUGGGGGGUGGGAAAAGAGAAUGCGCCAGACCCAUGAUCCAAUACCUAAUGAAAUCAUAUUUAAUAAUGUGAUAUUUAAAUAAAUAAAUAAAAAACACAAAAAUCAUGUAACACGGUAUCAACCGGUCACGCUCACUUAAGUCAAAAAAGACAAAAAAAAGCCAAUCAAAAGAGGGAACACAUCAUCUUCAACCUCAAAAACAUUUCAAAC